UGCCUCUGAGAAUAAGGAUGUUGUUUCAGUCUCUUCUGCUAAGGCUUGCCACAAGGGUAAAAAUACUGAGUGUGAUGGACUGUUUGUGUUCCACAGAGGAUGAGUAAACUUUCUCAGGUGUUUCAUAUGGGCCACUGACAUGUUUUGAAAUGAAACUGAAAUACUGAAUUAAAAGAGAUUCUACUUAAAGAGAAAUAGCAGCUUUGGAUGCAGAAUACAACUGUAGAUCAAGUCAGCAUAGACCUUAAAAGGGAGAACUUGUGUUGUUUAAGUUUGAAAGCAUCUAUUUCCUGACCAGCUGCCAUUGUUUCACACCAGCCUUGGGAAGACUUGCUAAUUGUCUGUGCAAAUUAAGAAGCCUUGGUCCAGAUGGAAUCAGAUCUCUAAUAUCUGGCUUUUGAACUAUCAUGUGGACUACCAUCAGGUGUGGGCUUGCAGAAAAAUGUAUCAGGGAUAUAGCUCAGAGUGAAGUUUGUAUCUGCUAUUUAGGCAUCAAUCGUUAUCCCUGGUGACUGCUUCAUACCACAACUGUAGAAAUGGGUGUCCUAUUUCAUUUGUGUACUUAUUUUUCUAUUCUGCUGGGUAUAUUUUGUAGUUUCAAUAGUAGGGAAUGCUAAAUUGUUAGUCUUGCUUUUUCUCUCUCCGUAGUUUUAUAAAAUACAAACACCUAAUUUCUCUCUCUUGUAAAUCUGAAUGGUAGAUCUGUGGCAAUAGUGUCAAAAAUGAACAGCUUUGGUUCAUGAAUUGAAAUGGAAGACUUGUAAAACUGCUUGUAAUAGUCUCUUCUGGUCUCCAUCCCCUUGCCAAACCUCUGAAAAUUCCUUUAAUAAUUAUCUGAUAUUUUCAAUUAUUUGAGGAAAAAGAAGAAAAAAAAUUCCUUGGGGAUCCAGUGUCCCUUUCUCAAGCAAUGCAGAGCAGAGUUAUGGGAUGCCAUAACAAACCUAUUUAUAUAAAGGUCCUUAAUAGCCACCAGUAACACAUUUAAUGAUCUGAAACAGUCAUUGUUAGUGAUGGUUCUUGUAAGCCUUACGGGAUCAUUUCUGCUGUUCACAUUUAAGUGUUAGAUGAAGCUGCCAGACCAGAUGGGAUUCUGAAGAGAGCACAGAACAGACUCCUCCAGAAAACAGAAAGUGGUGGGACUAAUUCCUGCUUUCCUGAUAAUAAAAGAUGCCAUGGGAAAUUAUCCUUAUAAUUUGAGUGUUAAAAUUAGAUAUCUAAAGUCAGAGGAACAUUACCAAUUUGGUUUUCAUAUCCUUGUUUUUUUCAUUUCCCCAUCAUUGUGUGCUUAAUUCAUAGUGUGUCAAAUUUGUAGAUGUGUAUAGUGGCUUCUUAAUUCAAGCAUAACUGGAAGCUUUUAGUGGGUAUUUUUGGACCAUCUGGAACAUGAACCUUAAUCUUCCUAAGUUGUAUUUUGAAAGGGCUGAUGGACUUAUUUGCCAGAGUUUAAUUUGACAGAAGAGUGGUUUUAUUUGUUCUAUCAAUUAAAACAUAGUCUAUUUGUUAUCAGUCAAUAAUAUCAUUUAUGAUAAGUACUGUAACUGUUAAAUGCAUUAUGUUGCCCAUACGGUGGCUGUCCUGUUGUUGUCUCUCUCUUCAAAUAUACUUUUUUUUAAAUUGGACAACCUAUUGCUUUUGCUUAAAGCAUGGUAAUCAGAAAUAUAACACUGAAAUAUAACCAGGAACUCAGCCCAAAGAACUCUGAUGAGUGUGGAGGCAUAAUGCAACAGAACAGAAAGCAAAAUGGAAUCACUGUCAGAAUUACUAAAAACUUACUAUUUCAAAUUUAACUAAAGAGAAAGGGUUCUUACUGCUAUUUUAAAUCAAUAAAAACACUGUGACCAGUACAUGUUCACUAAUCCUGAAAAAUUCAUUUCCCGGCAGCAAAAUCCUACUUUGUAUAACUGUGUACCUCAAAAAAAAAAAAAAAAUUGGAAGAAAUAUAGGUACUGUUUAGAAUCUUUCAUGGUAGAGGGAAUAUUGUUUUUAAGGUAUGUUUAUAUUUUGUAGUUUGAAACUUUUCACAAACAUAUAGUAGAAUUUUAUUUUGGUGCCUACAGAAAUACUUUGAAGUGAGCUUCCAGCAUUGCAUAUAAGUAAAAAGUAGUGCUGGGAACAACAACACAGAUUUUUCUCUCAUUCUUCUGAGUUUUUCCUGAGCCUUAACAAUGACUAUGGAUGACAGUAGCUAUGAAGUCUCUGUAGGUGCUGCUUUUUUCCCUUUCUAUUGUGCUAUCAGUACCUGCUCUGUACUGACUAUUCCUAACUAUCAGGAUGUUCAGCCAAGAGUGACUGAGACUUCGCCACUGAAGAACAUGCCCACAGUACAGGCCUCACAAUUUCUCUCUGUGAAGCUGGUGCUGAUGAAGAUUUAUCAAAAGGGAGAAGGGUGCAAUUAGAGGACGCCUCUCCUCUUUGGAUGACUCUGGUUUGUAAUAUAUUUUAUGAGCUGUGCAGCACGCUUCAACUCUGUGUUCGGGAAAAUAUGUGAAUACCCAAAGGAAAAUAGAAUUUGCAGUGCUGAGCCUUGCAAAGGGACGUGGGCACCUUGGAGGCUCUCAGGAAUAUUUCAGCCUUUUAAUUUAACUCCUGUGUUUUCUGAAGGUGAUCAGUAUCAGGGAAAUUGCACUGGGCUUUGGUGUGCCAAGCACUGUGAUUUUUAGUCACAGUGUCUCACAGGAACUGUUAGCUGAGUUUACUCAAAAGUUCUAAAUAUUUGAAGGAGUAAGCUGCUGACAAGUUAAAAUGAAAUAGUAAUUGUGAUGUUACCUUGAUAGCAAUUUCUGUACUUUUUCUGCUCAAGAAAUUGUUCCAAAGCACUUUGAGAAAAGGAGUGCCAUGUCAAGUUAACAUUUGUUUCAGGCCAUGUGCCUGAUUCUUCAUCUGGAAUCCUAUUUUCAGGCAGUCUGUCUGGACUUUCCAAGUUAUUCAGGCAUGAGGUGCAAAGACUUGCAUGCACAGCUCCUGUAGAAGUGGAAAGCUGAUAGCCCUGUCUGAGGUCAGACAUGCUGGAAAUGGGCAAAGACCUCCAGAGAGCUCUGCCACUGUACCUUAUAUUUGGUCUGUGCUCUGCCUUGGUAGUCUUCCAGAGUCACAUACUGGAUUUUGCAUGUGCCAGGUCAUUUGCACCAUCUGCAGCAGAAGACUGUUGAGCAGAAGUAGGAUGGGCACUUGGAUAAUUGAUGUCAGUCUAUUUGGAACAGGAACCAUUACUGAGGCAGAAAACUCAGGAAAUUAAGAUUUUGGCAUUUAUGUCAAAGGAAAAGUCACAAGUGGUGCUGUGUCCUGAUCUUUAGCAACUCAUAUUUAAAUUUAUGUACAAGGUGUAGAGUUUGUAGGCAAUUCCUCUAGAAUGGUGAUGGUGUCUGUAUGGGCAUUGCAAGAGGACCUCCCAUCCUCAACAUAUAUGAAAUAAAGUA